rnacentral:rRNA from 1 species
GAUAAACGCUGGCGGCGUGCCUAAUACAUGCAAGCCGAGCGAACGGACGAGAAGCUUGCUUCUCUGAUGUUAGCGGCGGACGGGUGAGUAACACGUGGAUAACCUACCUAUAAGACUGGGAUAACUUCGGGAAACCGGAGCUAAUACCGGAUAAUAUUUUGAACCGCAUGGUUCAAAAGUGAAAGACGGUCUUGCUGUCACUUAUAGAUGGAUCCGCGCUGCAUUAGCUAGUUGGUAAGGUAACGGCUUACCAAGGCAACGAUGCAUAGCCGACCUGAGAGGGUGAUCGGCCACACUGGAACUGAGACACGGUCCAGACUCCUACGGGAGGCAGCAGUAGGGAAUCUUCCGCAAUGGGCGAAAGCCUGACGGAGCAACGCCGCGUGAGUGAUGAAGGUCUUCGGAUCGUAAAACUCUGUUAUUAGGGAAGAACAUAUGUGUAAGUAACUGUGCACAUCUUGACGGUACCUAAUCAGAAAGCCACGGCUAACUACGUGCCAGCAGCCGCGGUAAUACGUAGGUGGCAAGCGUUAUCCGGAAUUAUUGGGCGUAAAGCGCGCGUAGGCGGUUUUUUAAGUCUGAUGUGAAAGCCCACGGCUCAACCGUGGAGGGUCAUUGGAAACUGGAAAACUUGAGUGCAGAAGAGGAAAGUGGAAUUCCAUGUGUAGCGGUGAAAUGCGCAGAGAUAUGGAGGAACACCAGUGGCGAAGGCGACUUUCUGGUCUGUAACUGACGCUGAUGUGCGAAAGCGUGGGGAUCAAACAGGAUUAGAUACCCUGGUAGUCCACGCCGUAAACGAUGAGUGCUAAGUGUUAGGGGGUUUCCGCCCCUUAGUGCUGCAGCUAACGCAUUAAGCACUCCGCCUGGGGAGUACGACCGCAAGGUUGAAACUCAAGGGAAUUGACGGGGACCCGCACAAGCGGUGGAGCAUGUGGUUUAAUUCGAAGCAACGCGAAGAACCUUACCAAAUCUUGACAUCCUUUGACAACUCUAGAGAUAGAGCCUUCCCCUUCGGGGGACAAAGUGACAGGUGGUGCAUGGUUGUCGUCAGCUCGUGUCGUGAGAUGUUGGGUUAAGUCCCGCAACGAGCGCAACCCUUAAGCUUAGUUGCCAUCAUUAAGUUGGGCACUCUAAGUUGACUGCCGGUGACAAACCGGAGGAAGGUGGGGAUGACGUCAAAUCAUCAUGCCCCUUAUGAUUUGGGCUACACACGUGCUACAAUGGACAAUACAAAGGGCAGCGAAACCGCGAGGUCAAGCAAAUCCCAUAAAGUUGUUCUCAGUUCGGAUUGUAGUCUGCAACUCGACUACAUGAAGCUGGAAUCGCUAGUAAUCGUAGAUCAGCAUGCUACGGUGAAUACGUUCCCGGGUCU